UCUUCCUCUGGACGCAGCUAUAUGAAUUUGGACAAACGAGACGUUGAGUCACUUUGGGAGACAUCGCUGGUGGAGAUGUAGCUGUCCGGGGCGUGAGGGCGGCUCCAAGCCCCGCGUUAGCAGCGGGGAGGACCGGAGCUGUGGACGCGGAGGAUGGACCCGUCAGGAGCAUAAAUGGACUGCGCCGGCUGGGACGUCACGAUGCGUCGUCGCCACAAAGCUCAUGAACGCGUUCAUUUGGCUCCCAGCAUGCAGCACACCCGGAGGGACCGCCGCUUACAAGGAGGACCCCCUAAAAGCCCGCCCUGGAGCCCCCGAGGAGGAAAGAGAGCAUCCAGAGGUUUCUGUCGCGCAUUCGUUGCUGCAGGCCUGAGGGGUUGUCUGUUAUCUUUGGUUAUCUAGCUGUAUGAGUGACGUACAUUCUUCAUAAAGCUAGAUAACCGAAAGUAACAAGAAUCCCAUUACACGCCUGCACAGGAAGAAGGAAAACGGCGUGGAAAUUGAGCCCAGAGAGCAGCGGAUCGGGCUGGAGGUGGACGGCAGCUGCUGCUAACCAAUGAUGUGAAGGUAUGAUGCUGCGUUACAUAAGCGCCGAUUUUACCGAGAGGGGAGGGACGCAUCUGUGUGCGCUGUGGGCGAAAAGACAAUAACUGGGAUUAAAAAGAGCAAACUCACACUAUGGGCUAGCAUCUGUGUGCUCAUUUCUUUUUUUAUAAAAGGUUAAAUUCAAACUAAACACUCAUGAGUGAUUUCAAACCUCACAGAUCUGCUGUUCUUGAAAAAUAUGUUAAAAACAGAGUCACUAAAAUGAGAAGGUAAUCAGAACACAUUUUAUUAUGGCAAAUUGAGAGAAAACAUUACAAAAAUCACAAAAGUAAGAGUCACAUUCACAGAAAUAUUAAAACAUUUUUGGUGUCAAGUAUUUUUCAGGAAUGCUUUAAAACACACACUUUACAAAUCCUCAUUUCUGAGUCUAAUCAGGGAUUAUUCUUUUCAGAUUAAUCGUCUCAUUCAAAAAUAAAUACAAAUAUUUCAAUCCCAUAUGUUUCCAGAAAAGUCCCAGAAAACAUGGCAUGUAUAUUUUUUUACAGUUUAAUACAGUUUUUAUAUUUUAUAUAGUUGAAGAGAUUCAGUACUAGAUAUUUUUUACUUUGAACAAUUUUCCAUCUUAUAUCUUUUUUUUUUCCUCAGAGUGAAAUUCCUCAGAGUGAAAUUGAUUUCGUAUUUGAAAUACUUUUGAAAUGCAACGUGGAAAUGGGCCUGUCCUGCUGCUGUAAAACUACGAUGGCAAAAAUCUAAUUUCUUUAACUCAGAAAACGAAAGCAGCAAUUAUUCCCACUGGUGCCACAAGAAUGAAACACUGAAAAUCACAAUUUUAAUUUAAAUGUGUAAUUUAAAAUUAUUUUUAUUCUGAUAAACAGAGUUAAGCAGAAAGGUAAACAUCCAUCAACAUGUUUAUUGAGAAAAAUAUGAACAAUUUCUGUGAUUCUACUUUUUAUAAACUGACAGAGAGCUAUAAUAGCUUUGAUACGGCUCUCUGCCCAGGGCAUUUUUCCGUUUAGGGAUGGCAUGAAUGCUCAGGAACAAAAACGUCGUCAUAAGUUCUACAGUUUAUUGUCAUGUCCAGUCAGUAGGAAGUGGGCAGCCCUCGUCUUGGGUAUGUAAUAAACAAUUAUUUACCAGUUUAAUGCCCUGCUAACUGCUAAUGAUGCUUAGGUUCAAUUUAAAAUAUAACUAUUUCAGUAUUUUCUAACUUUAAUAUUGGUGUUUAUAGGCUGCUGGUUGGUCUUUCCUUUUAAAUACUUUAACAAAAACUAAGAAACUACCAUCUGGAUUUCAGUAUUUCAUCAGCUAAAAUAACUUUAAAAUUACGAUUAUAUUUAUCAAAACACAUAAACAGCAACUUCAGUGAUUUAUUUUGCAUCAGGAUAACCUUAAAGAGAGGCAGACAUAAAAAUAGUAAAAUAUACAUUAGUCAAACCUGGAUGGAUCGGUGAAAAAGGAGGAGCUUGUUCCACUGACUGAGUGUAACUCUUUCCAGCAACAGGUGUGGGAGGGGAGGGUGUGUGCCUCUAUUCCCCAUGAUGUUAGAGACGAUUCUUCCUCUGGGGGGAGCGUUUGUUUUUGAAGCCGUGGCCUUUAUAAAACCUCACACAGGUAACUUGCUGUGAUAUCGUUCUGCAUUUAGCAGCAAACUGCUGCAGAUUCAUGCAUGUUUCAGGCUCCUGCACAUAAAGGCCGAGUGUUUACACGUUCAUCCCCCUCCCCACCCUCACAUGAAUAUUAAUCCAUACUCAUCAGGGUUUGGCUUCUUUUAUGGCAGCCUUCAUAAAAGCACAUAAUGAGACUGCAGCUCUUGUUGGGUUUCAGAGAGCGCGUCCUGCAGAGGCAGAGGUGGAGACAAAACAAAGACCACCGCGAAAAGGCAAUUAGCAGCACUUUGCCUCGUUUGGAGCAUCUCCACUCCACUGGAAGCCUUUUUUUUUUCCUUCUUUUUUUUGCAGGUGAUUUUGUGGAAUCAAAAAAAUACAACAAAAGGACAUCUAAAUAACAAAAAACCGAAGAAACUCAAAGGUGCCAUUAAAACCGCGUGAAAAAGAAACAAACUCGGUAUUAAUUACGUGACCCUUCAGGCACAUUUUGAGCUCAAUUCCUCCCAAUUUGAAGCUCUUAGAGGGUCACAUUAAACGGUGUUAACUGGUGAGAGUAAGAGAACGCAACGUCACUCAGCAUGCUGUAAGGUUUAUCCAGCUGCUAUAUAAAAUCAGUGCUUGAUUAGCAGACAAAGUGCGAGUAUUUUUAUCAGUGUAAAACCGAGAUUUAAGCCAGUUUGUGUCCUAAUGAAGCAGGUUAUAAUCCAUUUUCUGUUGACCGGACUGUACUUCCCUCCUCCCCCCUCAUUCAUUUAAUUUCAUUCUUUGUGUUUUUUUUCCCCAGCUCAGAUUCUCAGAUGGUUGGCUCUGAUUUGUAUGCAUUUGCAUAAUGAAUGUCAUUUGCAUGCUCAGGGGCAGACCAUACCAUGAGAACGGCUGUGUUGGUUGUUUGUGCGAAUGUGUGUGUUUGCUCAUGCAUGGGGCACUGUGUGUACAUUUGGACGCUUUAUUAUUUUUUUUAAUGAACAGACCGACAUGUGGAGUUGUGUUUCCCUCCUGUGACUUUGUUUUUUUUUUCCUGUGCCAUGUUUGUGAGUGGGAGAGUUCCUCCUGAAUGUGCAUGUAGGGCAGCGAUGUGACGAUCAUGCCUCCUUCUCCUCCCCCCCUCGCCGUCUUGGUAGUGAUGCACCAACUAGAAGAAUGAAAAUAAAAGACUCCUUCCUCGAUCCCAUAAUCCUCCUCGUCUCUGACCCCUCCCUUGCCAGUUUGUCCUCCUCUCCCGCAUGGCAAGUCACAGUCCCGCCACCAUCUUAGGUGCUAAGACUGGCACAAAAUGGCAGCUGAACGGGAAACAUGGACAAGCCGGCGCUGCACCUUCCCCCACUUCACGUUAUGCCCUCAUCCUUUCCGCGCCAUUGGUCGCCUCGAGACGGUGUUAAUUACUGCCAGAGUGUUAAUUGCAGAGACCGCCGCCCCCCCCAGAGACGUGCAGGAAGGGAUGAGAUAGGAGAAAACCGUGCAGCCAGCCGGCGGCGUCUUAAUGUCGAAGAGGUGGCAUUUUUAAGGGCAACUGCGCCGCUUUCCGCCGUGCCCGUCGUCUCGCUGCAGCUGAUCGGGAUUCUAACGGCGAUGCCCGGGAAAAGUCUCGUUAAUUAAAUUGUUUCAGUGUUUUUAAUUACAAAAGAGUUGCAAUUAGCACAACUGGCGGUAUUUCUGCAUGUGGAGCUUUUAAUUCCAGAUGAGCGUGCCGGCAUCUUGAUUUGAUGAAAUAGAGGGGCAAAAAAAACAA